GAGGAGAGGGGAAAUAGCCCUGCUCUCUCCUCUGUGGAUGUUUCCUCUGCUCCGGGCAUCUGGCUUUGAGCUUCCUGGGUGACUCGGAUGCAGCCUUAGCAAAAGGACCAAGAUAGAUGUGCUCCUCCUGCAGCAAAGGCUGGGGUCCAUGGCAGCACUGGGGAGACCUUUGCCACCCCCCAUCUCUGCCGGACCAAGGCUCAAGAUUUGCAAAAUGUAAGCUCAAAUGAUUUGCAAGAUUCAGCCUCAAGAUAAUGGGAUCUUCGUGAUGUGAAAAUAAGCAGAAGUAAAUAACUUGCUAAACAUAAGAUGCCAGAGGUUCACAAGGUAGAAGCUGAAUUUCAUGAACACACCCAACUUCCGGCUCGAGAGUUCUCUACUGGAAUAUCAUGCAGGAGAAUUAUGAGACACUAAUCUCUUUGGCAGAAGAGAUGGCCAUCAGCUUGCCCCGGAUCACUGCAUUGGCCGAGUCCCAUCGGAGAGGACUGGCAUCAGGAUUUCCACUUUCCAAACCUGACCUGCUGUCCUGGGUGGACCGAGGGGAAAACCCAUGGGCUCCUGACCUUCAGGAUUCUUUGGGAAUAGAAGGGUCAACUGCUAUUCAACCAGGUAAAAAACCUUUCCCUUUAUAUCCUGAAUU